GGAAUAUUGGUCAAUAGCCUAACGGCUGAACCAGCAACUUGGAGGAACGUAUAGUGAAAGCUAGUUGUAUUAAUAAUUAAUUCAUACAAUAUCGACUUAGUCGAAUAAAGUUCUGAGUAGAAUUAUGAUAAUGACAUUAUCUACUUAUGUGUCUUGACCAAAUUACGUGCCAGCAGUCGCGGUAAUACGUAGAAGACUAGUGUUAUUCAUCUUUAAUAGGUUUAAAGGGUACCUAGACGGUAAAUAAAGCCUUAGUUGGGACUAAUUUACUAGAGUUACUUAUGAGGGGGUAUUAAAGUACUGAUGGUGUAGAGAUACAAUUCUGUAAUACCUUUUUUCGAAGGAAAAGCAACGGCACAGGUAUAGGCGAAAGCAUCCCCUUAUGUGAUAACUGACGUUGAAGCAGGAUUAGAGACCCUGGUAGUCAAAGCAGAAAAUGAUGAGUGUCAUAGAUUAGAUAUUUGUUUAUUCUAUAAAUGAAAGUGUAAGCACUCCACCUCAAGAGUAAUUUGGCAACAUUGGAACUGAAAUCAUUAGACCGUUUCUGAAACCAGUAGUGAAGUAUGUUGUUUAAUUUGAUAAUCCGCAAAAAACCUUACCACAACUUGAAUAUUUUCAUCUAAAUAAAAAAUACAAGUGUUGCACGGCUGUCUUCAGUUAAUGUCGUGAGACUAUGGUUAGAUCCAUUAAAUUAACGUAAACCCUUGCUUUAUUUUUAUAUAAAGUAGUUCUCCACUAUAUUGGAUAAGAUAACAGGGACUAAGACAAGUCAUCAUGGCCUAAAUGUUGUGGGC
rnacentral:rRNA from 1 species